GCCUGCCCGUGGUUAUGGACCGGCUGCUGCGCAUGUGUACUGUGGGCGGCCGUGCUGCGUGGGAGUGUCCUCACCCUGGCAAAUUUACAGUGAAUUUCACUGACUGGAAUCUUGUGGUUUGAUCCUGCUUAUUGUUGAACAUCUGCAAUUCCUCUUGCCUUCAUUCAGAUUUUGGCCAUUUGUAAAGCUUCCUGGUCACUCAGCCCUGAUACAAGUGAAAUUCUCCUCUGGUGGUGAUAACAGCAAUGCUACUCAAUGAACUAUAAUAAGGGCUCUAAAUGCAUCUCCUGUAGCAUACCACAGUGAUUUGCAAAAGUGGGAAUAAAUCAAAGCAGUGGAGAGAUGCCAUGUUGAGCCAGAAGCUAAAUGUUACAUCUUGUUGCAUGAAGCUAGGGGAGAACAGAUCCUGCUUUUCUGGCACUGCAAUAUCUUUGUGCUUGUUACCUCCGAUCCAACCCCAUUAAAACAAUCAUUCAGAAUCUGCAGGAAAUUGUCACCUUUCUCUUUCAAGCAAUGGCAGCUGGUACUGGUGCCUACACACAUUCUUCAUUUCCUUCAUGAUUUUUCAACAUACACAAAAAAAGAAGCUUAAUUUAUAUUUAAAAAAAAUUGUGUCAGCUUACCCUGAGGCUCAGCACAGUCACCAGGGAAAAAAAUAAACGAUAAAUGCCUCUAGGUGAAAUGGCAGAGACUCUAAUUCUCCACUCAGUCUACUACUACAUUGUAUGCAUCACAUUAAUCAUUUCACAUAGGCAGACAUUUAAAAAAACUUGAGUAAUUUUAAAACAAAGAUGCAUCAUCUUAAACUCAAUAAUAAUACAACUGUAUCUUGUAAAGCAGGCUUAGUUCAUACAAACUCUGUCCCCAAACAGAAUAUUUAUAAAAUCCUUAGAUGUUUGUUUUUCUCUGUAUUGUUUUGUCCCCCCUAGUGACUU